GUUGCCAGCAGUUCGGCUGGGCGACUCUAAAGGGAACGUGCCGGUGUUAAACCGGAGGAAGGUGGGGAGUGACGUCAAGUCCUUAUGGCCUUUAUGACCAGGGCUACACACGUACUACAAUGGCCGAUACAAAGGGACAGUGACACUGCGAGGUGAAGCCAAUCCCGUAAAAUCGGUCUCAGUCCGGAUUGGAGUCUGCAACUCGACUCCAUGAAGUUGGAAUCGCUAGUAAUCGUGGAUCAGCAUGCCACGGUGAAUACGUUCCCGGGCCUU
rnacentral:rRNA from 1 species